UUAAGUCUGGGAAACGUGCCUGAUGGAGGGGGGUAACUACUGGAAACGGUAGCUAAUACCGCAUAAUGUCGCAAGACCAAAGUGGGGGACCGUUCGGGCCUCAUGCCAUCAGAUGUGCCCAGAUGGGAUUAGCUAGUAGGUGGGGUAAUGGCUCACCUAGGCGACGAUCCCUAGCUGGUCUGAGAGGAUGACCAGCCACACUGGAACUGAGACACGGUCCAG
rnacentral:rRNA from 1 species